rnacentral:lncRNA from 1 species
CCCCACAAAUCAAAGUCUUCCCACCUUUCAUGCAUGCUAACAGUUAAGCAUUCCCUUGUGCUUUCUUUUCAGUAAAAGCUGAGAACUCGUGGAAGAAGGAACAUAAUGGCCCAAGAAGACUGACCAUCCACUCGUUAUGCUUGAACAGUAGAUAAAGAGAAGUGUUCGAGUUAGAUAUGUCCAAUCUUGACUUCUCCGUUUUAGAAUGGGCCAUGCACCAUC